CCUACGGGGGGCUGCAGUGGGGAAUAUUGGACAAUGGGCGAAAGCCUGAUCCAGCCAUGCCGCGUGUGUGAAGAAGGCCUUCGGGUUGUAAAGCACUUUCAGUGGGGAAGAAAGCCUUGGGGCUAAUACCCUCGAGGAAGGACAUCACCCACAGAAGAAGCACCGGCUAACUCCGUGCCAGCAGCCGCGGUAAUACGGAGGGUGCGAGCGUUAAUCGGAAUUACUGGGCGUAAAGCGCGCGUAGGCGGUCUGAUAAGCCGGUUGUGAAAGCCCCGGGCUCAACCUGGGAACGGCAUCCGGAACUGUCAGGCUAGAGUGCAGGAGAGGAAGGUAGAAUUCCCGGUGGAGCGGUGAAAUGCGUAGAGAUCGGGAGGAAUACCAGUGGCGAAGGCGGCCUUCUGGACUGACACUGACGCUGAGGUGCGAAAGCGUGGGUAGCAAACAGGAUUAGAUACCCGAGUAGUC
rnacentral:rRNA from 1 species